rnacentral:rRNA from 1 species
GACGAACGCUGGCGGCGUGCUUAACACAUGCAAGUCGAACGGUAAGACCCUUCGGGGUACACGAGUGGCGAACGGGUGAGUAACACGUGGGUGAUCUGCCCUGCACUUCGGGAUAAGCCUGGGAAACUGGGUCUAAUACCGGAUAGGACCACUGCCUGCAUGGGUGGUGGUGGAAAGCUUUUGCGGUGUGGGAUGGGCCCGCGGCCUAUCAGCUUGUUGGUGGGGUGAUGGCCUACCAAGGCGACGACGGGUAGCCGGCCUGGGAGGGUGACCGGCCACACUGGGACUGAGGUACGGCCCAGACUCCUACGGGAGGCAGCAGUGGGGAAUAUUGCACAAUGGGCGCAAGCCUGAUGCAGCGACGCCGCGUGAGGGAUGACGGCCUUCGGGUUGUAAACCUCUUUCAGCACCGACGAAGCGCAAGUGACGGUAGGUGCAGAAGAAGGACCGGCCAACUACGUGCCAGCCGCCGCCGUAA